rnacentral:rRNA from 1 species
CCUACGGGGUGCUGCAGUGGGGAAUAUUGCACAAUGGGGGAAACCCUGAUGCAGCGACGCCGCGUGAGUGAAGAAGUAUUUCGGUACGUAAAGCUCUAUCAGCAGGGAAGAAAAUGACGGUACCUGACUAAGAAGCCCCGGCUAACUACGUGCCAGCAGCCGCGGUAAUACGUAGGGGGCAAGCGUUAUCCGGAUUUACUGGGUGUAAAGGGAGCGUAGACGGCAGCGCAAGUCUGGAGUGAAAGCCCAUGGCUUAACCAUGGAACUGCUUUGGAAACUGUGCAGCUAGAGUGCAGGAGAGGUAAGCGGAAUUCCUAGUGUAGCGGUGAAAUGCGUAGAUAUUAGGAGGAACACCAGUGGCGAAGGCGGCUUACUGGACUGUAACUGACGUUGAGGCUCGAAAGCGUGGGGAGCAAACAGGAUUAGAUACCCUGGUAGUC